AAGACCAAUACAUGAAAGUGGAAAGCUUUCUUUCUUAUACCAAUUAGAAUGGAACUGACAAUUGGGGUUAUUGGCUCUGCUUCAAUGGGAGUUGAACGGGUUGUACAUAGCCGUGCUUUGCCAGCAUAAAGUCUCCUCCAAUAGAGAUUGAGCUUUUGGUAUUGGUUAAUUUUAUGUUUCUUUGAAGUUGAUCGUGUUCAGGGUGAUGCUUUGUUAUUUUGUGAAGGACCCUAAGUUCCGUGAACUGAAUGGAGAUGGAAAGCCCUGAUUUAUGUUGUCGAUUGACACUUUUGAAAGAAUGGUUGGUGGCAUAUCCGUGGAUGUUGAUCAGACCGAGGAUACAAAAGGUCCUCAUACAUAAGAAAGAUGGUUAAGCUUGGCAUGUGAAAAUUUGAGGUUUCAGUAUAUGUAAGAUACCUGGUCACGGCUGGGCUAGUUCCUCCUGUAAAAGUUGUAAGUGUCGUGCGGAAUACUUGAGGUUAGACCCAGUCUUAGUGACUUGCUCAAAUAAAAAAAUUUGAUUUUGUAUGCCAUGGUUGAUUUGUAUGUUUAAUUUACUUUGUUGAUAAUAUCGACAAAUAGUAGUAGAUUAGUUUCUGCCAAUGUCAUGGAAAUUGUA